rnacentral:lncRNA from 1 species
GUCAUAUGGACUGCUGUUAAGAUUCAUGACCGGCACCGUCGCCAAGUCCUUCCGGAAGAACAACCUUGGACCUUCCGGAAGAACAACCUUGGACAUAUCUCUAAUUUCAUAGAAGCAUCAUCUUAGAUCAGCUCUAUGUUCACCAUGUUUCUAAACACCCGUUUGCUUACCCCACUCAAUGGGGGUGGACCCCGAUCCACGGGACGCUUGGGUCAGUAGAGGGGUUCGAUUAGGAGGACGUCGG